rnacentral:tRNA from 2 species
UACUGUGCAGGAAGAUGGUGCAUCCGGGAGGAUUCGAACCUCCGACCGCUCGGUUCGUAGCCGAGUACUCUAUCCA